rnacentral:rRNA from 3 species
UACGUAGGUGGCAAGCGUUGUCCGGAUUUACUGGGCGUAAAGGGUGCGUAGGCGGAUGCUUAAGUGAGAUGUGAAAUACCUAGGCUUAACUUAGGGGCUGCAUUUCAAACUGGGCAUCUAGAGUACAGGAGAGGGAAACGGAAUUCCUAGUGUAGCGGUGAAAUGCGUAGAGAUUAGGAAGAACACCAGUGGCGAAGGCGGUUUCCUGGACUGUAACUGACGCUGAGGCACGAAAGCGUGGGUAGCAAACAGG